AUUUCUUCAUCAUCUUUUUCUUCGACAACUCACAAACAUCUCUACCACCAACACCCAUGUUCCGAUUAAUCCAAUAAACUCAAUUAAAUACUUGUUUAUGGAAAAAAACUAAACCCUAAAUGGAUACUAUAUAGUGAACCCAAGGGAUCCAAUCCAAAACCAUAAUCAAAUCUAGUAAAAUUUCAAUAGUUUUCUUUCUUCCGUUUGUAAAAUAAAGUAAGAGAUGAUCAAAUUGUGAUUCAUAUUGACAUAUUAAAAUUCAAAGAAGGUAUGGAUGAUAACCCUCUGCUUCGUCGA